AUCACACGCCAUUAAUAAAUUAUCAACAUCAUUAAUGGUCAAUUUCUCCACUUUCGGAUAAAAUUUAUCCUGCAGACAAACUUCUAAAACUUGAAAAUGAUUGGUUAGCUGGGGAUUUAUCCGGAGGAUACAUUUAGGAAGAAAUUGGCCAUAAAUAAGAAACAUCUAUACUGCUAAUUUCAAUAAUAAUCAGGAUCUAACAUUCUUGAGAGACACGCCUAUAAUACGCAGAGCCUGAAAUACAUCGGACCGAGCAGGCGCUAGAAGUAAAAUCACAGAAAACACCAAAGUAUUAACAAAGACACUAAUUAAUUUAGGUAAUUCGGUGAUAAUCGGUAUCGUUAAUCGGUAAUCGGUAUCUCAUUUCGAGAUACAAUUCAGAACUGUUUUAUAUAUCAAACAAUAACGAAAUCCUUUGAAAUAUAGAAAAUGCGAAAGUGCCACUAUAUGUAUAUAGAUAUACUCAAUCUAUAAAAAUGAUUAACUUCAAAAUUCACCAUCUUCAUUCUCGUACGAUAGAACGUAAUGAUUUCUGACUCAAAUUUUGAGAUUGAUAUAUAUAUAAUUAAUUUAUUUAAUUUAUUUAAUUAUUAAUUUACUUAUUUUUGAGCCUAAAGUCUUGAAAUUUUUGUACUGUCUGUUUAACUUGUGAAUCCCUGUUAUGAUUAUGAUUAUUAUCACUGGCCAACCUUAACUUAAAAGUGAAGGUUUCUUAUCGCACGUAUCACUGUACCUACUAUUUGCACUAACAACAUUUAGUAAAUUAUGACGUUUUGGGUAACCUUACUAUAUCACAAUUAUGUGAAAUAACAAUAAGUAAUCUUAAGAUGUAAUUGCAAAACUUAUUAUACAUAUGUAGAACAUUUUGAAAACGAAUUAUGACAUGUUGACGAAGAGCAUUAUAUCCCCUUUUGUUGUCUCAUUAAUUUUAGACAGUAAUAAAUGCCAAUUAGGAUAAAAA